rnacentral:rRNA from 1 species
GAUGAACGCUGGCGGCGUGCCUAAUACAUGCAAGUCGAGCGAACGGACGAGAAGCUUGCUUUUCUGAUGUUAGCGGCGGACGGGUGGGUAACGCGUGGAUAACCUACCUAUAAGACUGGGAUAACUUCGGGAAACCGGAGCUAAUACCGGAUAAUAUAUUGAACCGCAUGGUUCAAUAGUGAAAGACGGUUUUGCUGUCACUUAUAGAUGGAUCCGCGCCGCAUUAGCUAGUUGGUAAGGUAACGGCUUACCAAGGCGACGAUGCGUAGCCGACCUGAGAGGGUGAUCGGCCACACUGGAACUGAGACACGGUCCAGACUCCUACGGGAGGCAGCAGUAGGGAAUCUUCCGCAAUGGGCGAAAGCCUGACGGAGCAACGCCGCGUGAGUGAUGAAGGUCUUCGGAUCGUAAAACUCUGUUAUUAGGGAAGAACAAAUGUGUAAGUAACUAUGCACGUCUUGACGGUACCUAAUCAGAAAGCCACGGCUAACUACGUG